CUGCAGAGCUACUUCUGUGUGGUUAAGGAGGGUGGCAUCAUCAGCGUAAAGCAGCUCAUGGACAAGAUGAUUUAAGGUCUUAGUGUGGGCCUUCAGUCGCCUUAGGUUGAACAGGCUCCCAUUGUUAUGGUAUCGAAUGUAGACACCGUUUUCAUCAUCGAGGUCUGCUGUGGCCCUUUGGAGCAUCAUGCUGAAGAAGAUUGUGAAUAAAGUUGGUGUGAGAACGCAGCCUUGCUUCACACCAUUGGCUAUUGGAAACGGCUCAGAAAGUGCAUUGCCAUAUCUGACCUGACCGCACUGGUCCUCAUGAAGCGAGAUGAUCAUUUUGAGGAACUUGGGAGGACAUCCUAAACGUUCCAAAAUCUGCCACAGACCUUUUCUGCUCACAGUAUCGAAAGCCGUGGUGAGAUCAACAAAGGUGUUUGUCUUCCACAUGGCUGACAGCUGAAUUCUGUUCAAAAAGGAUGAUUAAGACUGCAAUAGGUACAAAGCCAAGUUUCCUCUUGAAUUCUUUUCUUUUUCCUGCUGUGCCUCAUGUAGUUGGCAGAGCUUUUCCAUUGUGGAACAGGGGUUGCUGGAAGUGAAUUCUUCCUUAGCAGACAGGCUUUUGUUCAGUUUUGACUCCAGGCUUCUAGCCCAAACUCUUGAGCAAUCUUCACUGAGAAACCUCUGUGCGUCUGUGGUAAGAUUUUUCUUUUUUUAGAGUUUUCUAGUCUGAGCCAAUUUGUAGUACAGAGAUCCAUUUUCUGAAAGACUGUGUUCUGUGCAGAGAUUCUUCAGUAUCAGCCUUGUGCUAGCACAUUCUCUGAGAUUUACAUCACAUUAGGCUUUAGGUUUAAAUGCAGAUAAAAUUUUUCUUAGGUUUAUAUUUCUUUAGGCAGACUAAUUGUGGAACAAAUCAGGGCAGCAUACUGUAUUCUCACAUCUCUUGUCUCUUAAUUUUAAUCCUUCACUUAUUUUUCCAUACAAAGGGGUGUAAAAACAGUGUUUACACAUUAAACUUUUAUUUCCAAAUUUCUUCUCACCAAGUUCAAAACAUUUCUAGUCAGCCUUCACCUGACAGUUGCUUUGGUUGAAUGUUUUGAUGAAUCAUAUAAAAAAUGUAUGUGACUUUCGCUGCAGUUUGCACUUUGCUUCUUUUCCAGCCAAAAAGAGAGGAGUGAGGGUUACAGAGAGUUUCCACAUUUCCUAAUCUAACUGUAAGCCCCAAAAUGCACAUUCUCACCUCUUCUGCAGAAUGGCAAGGAAAUUUUACAACAGCUACAAGCUCCUGGGUAGCAGGUUGGUUGUUACCAUUUUCAAUUCUACCUAAGUUGCUUGCUUUUUUCUUUAAACUUGUUUUUCCCAUCAUUAUUCCACUUCAAGAAAUUCAUCUGCCUCUGACCUCCCUCUCCAUACUGAUACAUGUUCUUUAUACUGAAAUUGUUUCAUAGGUGACCUUUGCCUGGACUUAAUCUGUUAUAAAUUGCCACAUCCAGACUUGGACUCCUAUUUUUAAAUACCUUGACAAUAUAUUGCUUUUACAGACGCCUCUAUUUUCUGUAAGAAUACAUGAAUGUAUCAGUAUCUCAAAUAUCUUAAAAGCACCAAACCAUAACAAACAAGCGAGAAAAGCCACAAAACAGAACUCCAGUUGAUUCAUGGUGGACUUGAUUAUUUGCUUCUCAAGUUAUUAACAACACUGUUCCUGUGUUGGCUAUGGCUAAGAUGAAAUGUAGCAACUCCAUUUGAUUUAUAAUACUGGGGAUACAAAAGAUAGUAAUGCUUGCCUGAUAUCUUUUAAGCUUUUGAUAUCUUGUGUUCUUUUAUCCAAGACUAAGACAGAUGUUUUUUGAAUCAAUAGGCUGCACUGGGGUAUCAGACAGUGUUCCAGAUGGAUAUCCUUAUUCACUUAUAUGAACUUCUGUGUUGCUUCCCUUGGGGAAAUAUAAAGAGUCACACAUUUAAAAGAGCCCAUAAUGCUAAAGGCUUUAUUUGUUCAAUUGACUGCUGCUUAUAAUUACAACAUGACAGAAAGUAACAGACCAACAUAUUCAUUUUUAGUGUAUAAUUACACUCUGAGCAAGAAUAGUUGGAAUUACUAUGGGGAAGAACCAUUCAGCUAUACUGUUGAAAAGAAAAAUGGAAUCACAGAAUGUUUUCAGUUGGAAGGGAUAUUGAGGAUACUCUAGUUCUACUUCCCUUGUCAUGGGAAGGAAAACCUUCUAAUAGGGCCAGGCUGCUCAAAGGCUCCAUCCAACCUGGUCUCAAACACUUACAGGGAUGAGGUAUCCAUAGCUUCUCUGGGAAAUCUGUUGCAGUGUCUUACCACCCUCACAGUAAAGAAUUUCUUCCCAAUAUCCAAUCUAAAUACAUCCCUUUCAUUCAAAGUCAUUUCUGCUUGUCCUAUGCUCUUUUUAAAAGUGUUCUUUUUAAAAGUCCCUCUUCACCUCUCUUUUAGGCCCUCUUUUGGUACCGGAAGGCCAUUAGAAAAAUCUUUUCUGAGCCUUUUCUUCUCCAGGCUGAACAAUCCUAAUGCUUUCAGCCUGUUUUCACAGGAGAGGGCUCCAUUCCUCUGAUCAUAUUUGUGGACUCCCUCUGGACAAGUCCAUGUCAUUCCUCUGCUGAGGACCCCAGAGCUAGAUGAGCACUACAGGUAGGGUCUCACAAGAGCAGGGUAGAGGGACACAACCACCUCCCCUGACCUUCUGGCCACACUGCUUUUGACGCAGCCCAGGAUAGGGUUUGAUUUUCUGGACUGUGAGUGCACACUGUCCACUCAUGUCCAGCUUCUCACCCACCAACAACCCCAAGUCUUUCACACCAGGGCUGUUCUUGGUCCAUUCUCUGCCCAGACUGUACUUUUGCUCAGGACUGCCAAGACCCAGGUCCAGGUUUGGCCUUGUUGAAUUUCAUGAGGUUCACUCAAACCCACCUCUCAGGCCCAUCCAAGUCCCCCCAGUGUCAUCCCUUCCCUCCAGCGUGUUGAUUGCACCACACAGCCUGGUGUCAUUGGUGAACUUGCUGAGAGUGCUCUCCGUCCCACUGCCCAUGUCACUGACAAAGAUAUUUAGCAGCACCAGUCCCAAAGUUCCCUGAGGAAGCCUCUCAUCAGUGGUGCCCACUUGGACAUGGAGCUGCUGCAACUCUCUUGAGUGUGACCUUCCAGUUAUAUCCCUAUCCAUUGAGUGGUCCAGAUGUCAAAUCCGUGUCUCUCCGGUUUAGAGACAAGGAUGUUGUGUGGGACAAUGUCAAAUGCUUUGCACAAGUCCAGGUAGAUGAGAUCAGUCACUCUUUGUUCAUCCACAGCCUCUGUAAUCCUGUCAUAGAAGGCCACCAAAUUUGUCAGGCAUGAUUUGCAAUCAGUGAAGCCUGUAACCAAUCACCUCUGUAUUUUCUAUGUGCCUUAGCAUAGUUUCCAGGAGGAUCAGCUCCAUGGUUUUGCAAGGCACUGAGGUGAGAUUGAGUGGCCUGUAGUUCCCUGGAGCUUUCUUACUUCCUUUACUUCCUUACUUUCCUUUUUUAAACUAGGGGUUAUGUUUCCCCUUUUCCAAUCGUGGGAACUUCACUGGACUGCCAUGACUUCUCAAACAUGAUCAAUAGUGGCUUAGCUACUUCCUUCAUCAGUUCCCUCAGGAUCCACAUAAGCAUCUGAUUGGAUCCUGCAGACUUGUGCAUCUUGAGGUUCCUUAGAUGUUCUGGAACCUGAUCUUCUCCUACAGUGUGCAGUUCUUCAUUCUCCCAAUCCCUGUCUUCACAUUCUACAGUUUGGGUGGUGUGACUGGACAACUUACUGGUGAAAAAAAGCGGUAGAAAAAUCAUUGAGUGCCACAGCCUUCUCCAGCUCCCAGCUAACCAGGUCUACUGUUUCCUUCUGGAGAUGGCCUUCAUUUUCCCUAGUCUUUCUUUUACCACCAGUGUACCUAUAAAUGCUUUUUUUAUUGCCCUUGAUGUCCCUGGACAGAUUGAAUUCUAUUAGGGAUUUAGCUUUCUUAAUCUAAUCCCUGAAUACUUGGACAAUUUAUCUGUAUUUUUCCCAGGCUACCUGUCCUUGCUCCAAUCCUCUUUAGGUUUCCUUUUAGUGCUUUAAUUUGUCCAGGAGCACCAUGUUCAUUCAUGCAGGCCUCCUGACAUUUUUGCCUGACAUCCUCUUCUUUGGAGUGCAUCUUUCCUGAGCCUGAAGGAAGUGAUUCUUGAAUAUUAGCCCGUUUUCCUGGGUCCUUCUUCCCUCCAGGGCUUUAACCCACAGCGCUCUAACAAGCAGGUCUCUGAAGAGGCCAAGCCAGCUCUCCUGAAGUCCAGGGUAGCAAGAUUGCUGUGCUCCCUCCUUGCUGCCCUAAGGAUCUCAAAUUCCACAAUUUCAUGGUCACUGCAGCCAAGCCCAUCCUUGAGCUUCACAUCCCCCACCAGCCCCUCCUUGCUGGUGAGAACAAGGUCCAGUACAGCAACUCUCCUUGCUGGCUUCUCUAUCACUUGGAGAAGAAAACUAUCAUAAAAGCAUUCCAGGAACCUCCUGGGUUGCUUAAUUCCUGGCUGUGUUGUCCUUCCAACAGAUAUUGGGGUGGCUGAAGUCCCCCAUGAGGUGCAGGGCUUGUGAACACGAGAUCGUUCCUAUCUGUCUAUAGAUGACUCAUGUCACCUGUCCCUCCUCUUCCUUUAAUCCUGACCCACAAGCUCUCAGUCAGCUCCUCAUCCAUCCCUAGGCAGAGCCCUAUGCACUCCAGCAGGUCAUUGACAUAGGAGGUGACACCUUGUCUCCCCUGCCUGUCUUUUUAAAGAGGAAUAUAUAAAAUACAUAGAAUUAUUUUUUUCAUGAUGGUGUUCUUGGCCUUUAAAACAUAUUCAUCAUCAUGAAGCAACAAUAUUGUUAUAACUGCUUUGAAACAAUUUCUGUAGAGAGUGAUGUAUUUUAUUUGACCAACUACAUAUAGUUAUAGAGACAGUAAGUUAUUAAGUGUUGUCACGGUUUAACCCCAAGUGGCCACUCAGCUCCCUGCAGCCGCUUGCUUCCUCCCCCCCUCAGUGGGAUAAGGGAGAGAAUUGGAAGGGUAAAAGUGAGAAAACUUGUGGCUUGAGAUGCAGAGAGUCUAAUAGGCAAAGCAAAAGCCACACGUGCAAGCAAAGUAAAACAAGGAAAUAAUUCACUCCUUCACAUGGGCAGGUAGGUGUUCAGCCAGCUCCAGGAAAGCCAGGCUUCAUCAUGGAUAAGAGUGACUUGGAAAUACAAAUGCUAUCUUUCCAAAUAUCCCUCUCUUCCUUCUUCAUCCCCCAGCUAUAUUAGCUGAGCAUGACGUCAUACAGUAGGGAAUAUCCCUUGGGUCAGUUGGGGUCGGCUGUCCUGGCUGUGUCCCCUUCCCAGCUCCUUGUGCACCCCCAGCCCACUGGCUGCUGGGGUGGAGUGAGGAGCAGAAAAAGCCUUGGCUUUGCAUAAGCACUGCCCAGCAGCAAGGAAAACAUCCCUGAACUAUCAACAGAGUUUCCAGGACAAGUCCCGAACCCAUCUCCACACUAGAUACUGUGAAGAAAAUUAACUCCAUCACAGCCAAAAUCAGCAUGUAUGUUUUAUAGCAUAUCAUAAUUACCAUAAAUCUGAGUGAAUAGAAGUGCACAUACAAAAGAACAAGUCUUUCUUUAAUCAGGUGAAGCAUAACAAGAUUAUAAAAAUUCAGCCAUGACUGUGAAAAAAAAAAAUAAACCACCAACAAAACAAAAGGUGAGCCACUGAGAGGAGAGCUUUCAGAAGGAUGUCUGGAAUCUUCAGAUUCUUCACUUAAAAUCUGGCCAGGACAUCCUUUGAGUUUCCUAUCUACUUCAGUGCAGUCAACCUUUCAUUGUCUGUUUCUUCCUAGGGUUUUUCACCCUUCCCCUGAUCUCUCCUCUUCACAAAGUCCACUAAAGUCCAGGUUUAGACAGAGAACAAACAGGAACUGGUCUUUCACACACCCUGAGUGCUCUAAGUCCUAAUGAAACUGAAACCAUUGGGAUGGUCCUACUGUCUGUCUCACCCCAGCACUGUAUGCUGUUUAACAGGGUUGGUGAAGACACCUGUCUCUGGAGAGGACUGGGAGCUGUUAAUGUCAACCAAAGAUGAGAUUGCUGAGAGCAGGUUACAUUUGCCACAGAUAUCAGAACACAGAAAUGUCAGACAUUUACCAUGGAAUAACAUUUCUUCGUUUCCUAUGGAGCAGCUUUUGCAGAAGUACUUGUAAGCCUCACUGCUGGAGAGCCCUGGAACCUGGAGUGUGGCUUCCCUGAUGAACUGUAAGCCUAAUCAAUGUGGAAGACUUGGGUGUUAUAGCUCAUUCUGUUGAGCUAUGUCUACAUUAUGUAAGGUUGAGAUUGCCACUAUUUUACUAUAAACUUUUUUAGCUUUAUGAUGUCCAUUCAUCACUGAACUGAAAGAGUUCAUUUGAAAGUAAGAAAAACCUAGGCACAGAAUAUACUUUAACCAAAAACUGAGAAGAGUAAAGGAAAGGCGUAAUGAUUUUAAGCUGAAAGAGGGUAGGUUUAGAUUAUAUAUAAGGAAGAAGAUUUUUACAAUGAGAGUGGUGAAACACUGGCACAAGUUGCCUAGAGAAUUGGGAGGUACCCCAUCCCAGGAAACACUUCAGGUCAGGUUGGACAGGGCUCUGAGCAACCUGAUCUAGUUGAAAACGUCGCUGCUUAAUGCAGGGGGGUGGACUAAAUGACCUUUAAAGGUGCCAUCCAACCCAAACUGUCCUAUGAUUCUACGGUUCUAUGAAAGUUGUCGUGACCAAGAGCUCCCUCCUGUGUUUUACAGGAAGAGCAGAAGGUCCACGCGUGCGUAGGUCUCUCGGGCAGUGUGACGCAGGCAGCCCCCCUGAAUUAAAAAACCAGCAAACAAACAAAAAACAAAAAUAGAAAAUAAAAGGGGAAGGGAGAAGGACCCAAACAAACAAACCAGUUAACAAAUAAACAAAAAACUUGGCAUUUUGAAACAAA